GGUUAAGCGACUAAGCGUACACGGUGGAUGCCCUGGCAGUCAGAGGCGAUGAAGGACGUGCUAAUCUGCGAAAAGCGUCGGUAAGGUGAUAUGAACCGUUAUAACCGGCGAUGUCCGAAUGGGGAAACCCAGUGUGUUCCGACACACUAUCAUUAACUGAAUCCAUAGGUUAAUGAGGCGAACCGGGGGAACUGAAACAUCUAAGUACCCCGAGGAAAAGAAAUCAACCGAGAUUCCCCCAGUAGCGGCGAGCGAACGGGGAGGAGCCCAGAGCCUGAAUCAGUGUGUGUGUUAGUGGAAGCGUCUGGAAAGGCGCGCGAUACAGGGUGACAGCCCCGUACACAAAAAUGCACAUAUUGUGAGCUCGAUGAGUAGGGCGGGACACGUGGUAUCCUGUCUGAAUAUGGGGGGACCAUCCUCCAAGGCUAAAUACUCCUGACUGACCGAUAGUGAAGCAGUACCGUGAGGGAAAGGCGAAAAGAACCCCGGCGAGGGGAGUGAAAAAGAACCUGAAACCGUGUACGUACAAGCAGUGGGAGCCCUGAUUUAUCAGGGUGACUGCGUACCUUUUGUAUAAUGGGUCAGCGACUUAUAUUCUGUAGCAAGGUUAACCGAAUAGGGGAGCCGGAGGGAAACCGAGUCUUAACUGGGCGUUAAGUUGCAGGGUAUAGACCCGAAACCCGGUGAUCUAGCCAUGGGCAGGUUGAAGGUUGGGUAACACUAACUGGAGGACCGAACCGACUAAUGUUGAAAAAUUAGCGGAUGACUUGUGGCUGGGGGUGAAAGGCCAAUCAAACCGGGAGAUAGCUGGUUCUCCCCGAAAGCUAUUUAGGUAGCGCCUCGUGAAUUCAUCUCCGGGGGUAGAGCACUGUUUCGGCAAGGGGGUCAUCCCGACUUACCAACCCGAUGCAAACUGCGAAUACCGGAGAAUGUUAUCACGGGAGACACACGGCGGGUGCUAACGUCCGUCGUGAAGAGGGAAACAACCCAGACCGCCAGCUAAGGUCCCAAAGUCAUGGUUAAGUGGGAAACGAUGUGGGAAGGCCCAGACAGCCAGGAUGUUGGCUUAGAAGCAGCCAUCAUUUAAAGAAAGCGUAAUAGCUCACUGGUCGAGUCGGCCUGCGCGGAAGAUGUAACGGGGCUAAACCAUGCACCGAAGCUGCGGCAGCGACGCUGAUGCGUUGUUGGGUAGGGGAGCGUUCUGUAAGCCUGUGAAGGUGGCCUGUGAGGGUUGCUGGAGGUAUCAGAAGUGCGAAUGCUGACAUAAGUAACGAUAAAGCGGGUGAAAAGCCCGCUCGCCGGAAGACCAAGGGUUCCUGUCCAACGUUAAUCGGGGCAGGGUGAGUCGACCCCUAAGGCGAGGCCGAAAGGCGUAGUCGAUGGGAAACAGGUUAAUAUUCCUGUACUUGGUGUUACUGCGAAGGGGGGACGGAGAAGGCUAUGUUGGCCGGGCGACGGUUGUCCCGGUUUAAGCGUGUAGGCUGGUUUUCCAGGCAAAUCCGGAGAAUCAAGGCUGAGGCGUGAUGACGAGGCACUACGGUGCUGAAGCAACAAAUGCCCUGCUUCCAGGAAAAGCCUCUAAGCAUCAGGUAACAUCAAAUCGUACCCCAAACCGACACAGGUGGUCAGGUAGAGAAUACCAAGGCGCUUGAGAGAACUCGGGUGAAGGAACUAGGCAAAAUGGUGCCGUAACUUCGGGAGAAGGCACGCUGAUGGUAGGUGAAGCGACUUGCUCGUGGAGCUGAAAUCAGUCGAAGAUACCAGCUGGCUGCAACUGUUUAUUAAAAACACAGCACUGUGCAAACACGAAAGUGGACGUAUACGGUGUGACGCCUGCCCGGUGCCGGAAGGUUAAUUGAUGGGGUCAGCGCAAGCGAAGCUCUUGAUCGAAGCCCCGGUAAACGGCGGCCGUAACUAUAACGGUCCUAAGGUAGCGAAAUUCCUUGUCGGGUAAGUUCCGACCUGCACGAAUGGCGUAAUGAUGGCCAGGCUGUCUCCACCCGAGACUCAGUGAAAUUGAACUCGCUGUGAAGAUGCAGUGUACCCGCGGCAAGACGGAAAGACCCCGUGAACCUUUACUAUAGCUUGACACUGAACACUGGUCCUUGAUGUGUAGGAUAGGUGGGAGGCUUUGAAGUGUGGACGCCAGUCUGCAUGGAGCCGUCCUUGAAAUACCACCCUUUAAUGGCUGGUGUUCUAACGUGGGCCCGUAAUCCGGGUUGCGGACAGUGUCUGGUGGGUAGUUUGACUGGGGCGGUCUCCUCCUAAAGAGUAACGGAGGAGCACGAAGGUUGGCUAAUCCUGGUCGGACAUCAGGAGGUUAGUGCAAUGGCAUAAGCCAGCUUGACUGCGAGCGUGACGGCGCGAGCAGGUGCGAAAGCAGGUCAUAGUGAUCCGGUGGUUCUGAAUGGAAGGGCCAUCGCUCAACGGAUAAAAGGUACUCCGGGGAUAACAGGCUGAUACCGCCCAAGAGUUCAUAUCGACGGCGGUGUUUGGCACCUCGAUGUCGGCUCAUCACAUCCUGGGGCUGAAGUAGGUCCCAAGGGUAUGGCUGUUCGCCAUUUAAAGUGGUACGCGAGCUGGGUUUAGAACGUCGUGAGACAGUUCGGUCCCUAUCUGCCGUGGGCGCUGGAGAACUGAGGGGGGCUGCUCCUAGUACGAGAGGACCGGAGUGGACGCAUCACUGGUGUUCGGGUUGUCAUGCCAAUGGCACUGCCCGGUAGCUAAAUGCGGAAGAGAUAAGUGCUGAAAGCAUCUAAGCACGAAACUUGCCCCGAGAUGAGUUCUCCCUGAGACUUUAAGUCUCCUGAAGGAACGUUGAAGACGACGACGUUGAUAGGCCGGGUGUGUAAGCGCAGCGAUGCGUUGAGCUAACCGGUACUAAUGAACCGUGAGGCUUAACCUU
rnacentral:rRNA from 1 species